UCCAUUCUCCUUAUUCCUUCCUCUACUGCCUCUUGAUUAUUUGCUUUUUGUUUGCUUUGUUUAUGCCACAGUGUCAGGGAUAAUAGCAAUAACCACAUGAAAAAUUCAAUUAGGGGAUAUCCUGUCUUUCUUCCGCUGGAAAGAGGCUAUGGAGAACAAGAUAUGGAAAUUAUGUGUGCCUUCCUUUACCUGCCUGGUAUUAUUCAAACUGACUGCGUGGCAUUUUUCAAAGAAGACUACACAGAAGGAAAAGAGAAGACAAGCAACAAUUAACACAAGGCAGAGCUUAGGAAGGGCCUGCAAGAAUAAUGAUUGGGGUCUUCAUGCCAGCCUGUCCUCAGCCAAGUUACCAGCCCUUUCUUUUUGCCCAGACCUGAGAAGGAGGAUUUACUGCAGAUCUGCAGCUCCCACUGACUUUAACACUACUGAACAGCCAAAUCAAAGGUGGGAAUUCCAAACACCAAGCACCCAGAAUACCAAGCCAUUCCCAAAAAUGAAUAUAUGCUUCUACAUGAAAGACUAUUUGAGUGCUGCUAAUAAAGGCAGAGGCUACAGAGCUCCAAGAGUGCAGCUGAGGGAGGCAGCUGCCAGCUGCAGCAGCCCUGGGCUCCUCUUCGAGAGCUGCUGGAUCUUCUGGGACUUCGUCCAACACCAUGGGGGAACUUCUGAGAGCUACCGAGGAGCUCGAGGGUGCCUGCAGCUGACAGAAAAUUGGCACUGAGGAACACCGUGCCCAGAACAUGUCAAAGUUGUUCGAGGAGGAAGAGCAGCCAUUUCACACCUCGCCGAGCUCCCACGGUCGCCGCCUGCGACGGGCACGCGGCUGCAUCGCUGCCGACGCCACCCACCGCGUGGCUCCCUGAUGUGGGGCAAGUGCUCUGUUUCAUACUAUUGCCAGGAAAUAUUCCAGCACUGAGGAACUAUGUGACUGUAGAAAUGUCUCCUAGCUGUUUCUCCCAGAUCAGCUCUGGCAGAGCUUGUAAGAAGAGAGAAAAUAUGUAAAGUUCUUCUCUCACAGUCACUAUACUUAUCUCAUACUUGUAUGCAGAAAAGUAAAAUCUGUCCCUGCCUAAGCACGAGCUACAUUUCUGUGUAACUGCAGAGCUAUAUUAUUCCCCUGCAGGUGACCUUUGGCACCUGAGACCCUUUCAAGUUAUGAUAGGAAAAGGAAGACAGAAAAAAAAGAGAAACAGCAAUGCAGUGAUCCGCUUUGUUAUACUGGUACACCCCACUGUGUGGGCUUUUGUUUUGCUUUAGUUUAAACAUGUGCCUGGAUGAUUUAUCUAAAAGGAAGCAGGUUUGGUUUAAAUCCAAAUAAGGGUGUGUUUACCUCAUCAAAAGAGACUGGGUAAUGGCAGCUUAUUUACUGCUUGUCAAUAGGGUUUGCAAAGAUGAUUUAAAAGGAAACAUUUUCCCUCACACGUGCAACAGCACGAAGUACAAACACGGUCCUUGUCCGCAGCCCGGUUGCGGAGCAGUGACGCGGCCCCUUGGGCUGCCCCGGCCCUGGCUGCAGAGCUGCAGGGCUGCCAAAGCCUUGCCGGGUCGAGGUGCCCGUGGCUGCAGCUGCUGCGCUGUGGACAGCGGCUCCGCGAGGGUCCACGGGACCAUGGGACGCCCGGUCCCUGCACCUCCAGCUGCUGCUGGCCGUGGGGCCUCCCACCACCUCGCCACCAACUCAGGCCAAAAGCCAAACAGCUGCGGUCUCCUAAACUCUUUGGCUCUGUUUUAACUCAUCACAUCUUGGGGCAUUUGGUGAACCUUUCUCAGCUGAACGAGACCAAGGAAGAAAAAUGCGGAAAAGCCAGGGAGCAAUGCCAUACCGGGAGUGACAGGGAGCAGCCGGGCUCGCAAUACAAGGGCAAGAGCAGAAAGCAAAGAAACGUUUUGGGGAAAAAAUCCUCCCUCCUUCUCCCACUUGUUCCGUCCUGGCAGAGCAAGAAAGUAUCUUGAGCAUCUGCUGCUCACUGCGCCCCGCAGAUGGUAUGCCAGACAUACCGGUACUCGGGCCCUCCGGUCAUUCCUCCCUUGCGAGUCCUGGCAGGAGGCCAGGCACUUAUCAGCCUGGAUAUCCAGCUGCCCGGGUCAAUGAGCAAUCCCCAAAUUUGCUGCAUGCUCCCCAAAUCCAGCCGAGGCAUGCCAUCAAAUCUUGAAAGUUAAGUCACAUUUCUCUCCUGAUGCUUAGGCAUCUUAAGAAUUCAGUUUCGUGACAAAUGUCUAUAAUUCCUCUGCUCAUUUCUUGCAUGCAGACGUUACCUCUGGCAGCUUUCUGCCACUAACUCACCAACCCCACCCUGCUGAGCAGCUAACAAUGAAUAUCCAGAGUUUUCAGUAACUGGAAUAAAUAUUUUCAAGCCACCUGAGCCUCUCAGGAUCCUAUUCUGAAGUGUGUUUUGUUUAAGAAAGCCAUUAUCCUACCUUAACCAAACACCUAGCCAGACCCAAAGUGUUCACACCCCUGUUUAAAAUAGUUUUAUUUUUUUCUUAACUAGAAAACUGAGAAGACAUGUGGGACUGUGGAAAUCUGUUACAUGCACAAAGCUUGUGAACUAAGAGAGGGCUGAGAGGCCUCCCGUGUGGGAGCUAAUUACCUUCCUGAGCUGCGGGAGCACCGCUCCCCCCUUCCCUCCCUCCCACGUUGCCUCCCUCGAACACUGGCUUUUCCCUCAGGUCACCGGAGCAGAAGCUGCGAGAGCAAUAAGGAGAGCUGGCGAGCAAUCAGACCAUGUCAUCUGCUUCUCCGUAUGAAUAACCAUAAUCCUGAAUUUGCAGUGGCCCAUAUGCACAUGCCUAGGCACAGAAUACUAAUUCCCUUGAUCAGGGAAGGCACGAGUGACGUGGCCGUGACAGUGCGUGCGCGCACAGGGCGCUGCUCGCCCCAGAGUUUGCUGCGGCUCUUUUGGGGCCAGUUUGAAGUGGCCGGGUUUUUGUGCUGCGAUUCGUUAUAGCUGAG